rnacentral:rRNA from 1 species
CCCUUAGAUGUUCUGGGCCGCACGCGCGCUACACUGAUGCAUUCAACGAGCCUAUCCUUGACCGACAGGCCCGGGUAAUCUUUGAAUCUGCAUCGUGACGGGGAUAGAUUAUUGCAAUUAUUAAUCUUCAACGAGGAAUGCCUAGUAGGCGCAAGUCAUCAGCUUGCGUCGAUUACGUCCCUGCCCUUUGUACACACCGCCCGUCGCUCCUACCGAUUGGGUGUGCUGGUGAAAUGUUCGGAUCGGCCGUUUGUCGCGGUUUCCGCGUCAUGUGGCUGAGAAGUUCAUUAACCCCUCCCACCUAGAGGAAGGAGAAGUCGUAACA